rnacentral:rRNA from 1 species
GACGAACGCUGGCGGCGUGCUUAACACAUGCAAGUCGAACGGAAAGGCCCCUUUGGGGGUACUCGAGUGGCGAACGGGUGAGUAACACGUGAGUAACCUGCCCUUGACUUCGGGAUAACUUCAGGAAACUGGGGCUAAUACCGGAUAGGAAUCCUUGCUGCAUGGUGGGGGUUGGAAAGCUUCAGCGGUUUUGGAUGGACUCGCGGCUUAUCAGCUUGUUGGUGGGGUAGUGGCUUACCAAGGCUUUGACGGGUAGCCGGCCUGAGAGGGCGACCGGCCACAUUGGGACUGAGAGACGGCCCAGACUCCUACGGGAGGCAGCAGGGGGGAAUAUUGCACAAUGGGCGGAAGCCUGAUGCAGCAACGCCGCGGGCGGGAUGACGGCCUUCGGGUUGUAAACCGCUUUCAGCAGGGGCGAAGCUUGUGGUGACGGUACCUGCAGAAGAAGCACCGGCUAACUACGUG